rnacentral:rRNA from 1 species
UACGAGGGGGGCAAGCGUUGUUCGGAAUUAUUGGGCGUAAAGGGCGCGUAGGCGGUGCGGUAAGUCACCUGUGAAACCUCUAGGCUCAACCUAGAGCCUGCAGGCGGAACUGCCGUGCUUGAGGGUGGGAGAGGUGCGUGGAAUUCCCGGUGUAGCGGUGGAAUGCGUAGAGAUCCGGAAGAACACCGGUGGCGAAGGCGGUCUGCUGGGCCAAGACUGACGCUGAGGCGCGACAGCGUGGGGGAGCAAACAGG